rnacentral:misc_RNA from 1 species
UUUUUGGAUAAUAUAGAUGUAUUAGAUGUAUUUGAUGUAACAGUUCUAUGUCGAUUUUCCGUGGAUUUGCUUUUACUCUUACUGCGGCUGUGACGUGAAAAUCUUCCUCUGGGCAGCGGUAAACCUUUCUCAAGAGCACGACGUAUUUCAUAUUCUAAAAUCUUCUUCUCCUUCAACUUUUCAUGUUCUCGUAGCCUUUGUUGUUCUAUCAUCCAUUCGCGCCUACGCCGUAAUCGUUCUUCUUCUGUUCUUCGUAGACCAGCCUCGUAAUUUCCAUUGCGUGAUAAUCUCAACUUUUCAUCACGAUGGGAAUGAUUCGACACGUUUCGUUUCAUUUUCCAAGGAAGAAAAAUUUCAUAUGCGUGGAAACUUACAAAAAAUUUGCUGGAAAUCGAGGAAGUUAGGGUAGUUCAAUAAUAAAUUGAUAUAUCAGCCUAUUAGCAACAAAGUUAUUGAAUCGCAUAGGAGGGAUUCUGAAAGGAGUCCUAAGAAGAUCAAAUGGACAUAUAUACAUACAGGGUGUAAAGAAAAUAAAUGUCAAGAAAAUCACAGUAUGAUUCUAUACCUUCGAAUUAGUAGAGAUUUAUAAAAAAAA